rnacentral:tRNA from 1 species
CAAAAAGUAGUUUAAUAUAAAAUAUUAACAUUGGAAGUUAGUGAUUAAGAUUUAAUCUUAUUUUUUGA